GAUGAACGCUGGCGGCGUGCCUAAUACAUGCAAGUCGAGCGAACGGACGAGAAGUUUGCUUCUCUGAUGUUAGCGGCGGACGGGUGAGUCACAUGUGGAUAACCUACCUAUAAGACUGGGAUAACUUCGGGAAACCGGAGCUAAUACCGGAUAAUAUUUUGAACCGCAUGGUUCAAAAGUGAAAGACGGUCUUUCUGUCACUUAUAGAUGGAUCCGCGCUGCAUCAGCUAGUUGGUAAGGUAACGGCUUACCAAGGCUACGAUGCAUAGCCGACCUGAGAGGGUGGUCGGCCACACUGGAACUGAGACAGGGUCCAGACUCCUACGGGAGGCCGCAGUAGGGAAUCUUCCGCAAUGGGCGAAAGCCUGACGGAGCAACGUCGCGUGAGUGAUGAAGGUCUUCGGAUCGUAAAACUCUGUUAUUAGGGAAGAACAUAUGUGUAUGUAACUGUGCACAUCUUGACGGUACCUAAUCAGAAAGCCACGGCUAACUACGUG
rnacentral:rRNA from 1 species